UACGGAGGGUGCGAGCGUUAAUCGGAAUUACUGGGCGUAAAGCGCAUGCAGGUGGUUCAUUAAGUCAGAUGUGAAAGCCCGGGGCUCAACCUCGGAACUGCAUUUGAAACUGGUGAACUAGAGUGCUGUAGAGGGGGGUAGAAUUUCAGGUGUAGCGGUGAAAUGCGUAGAGAUCUGAAGGAAUACCAGUGGCGAAGGCGGCCCCCUGGACAGACACUGACACUCAGAUGCGAAAGCGUGGGGAGCAAACAGGAUUAGAUACCCCUGUAGUCC
rnacentral:rRNA from 1 species